rnacentral:rRNA from 1 species
UACAGAGGGGGCGAGCGUUGUUCGGAAUUACUGGGCGUAAAGGGCGCGUAGGCGGCCUUCUAAGUCGAACGUGAAAUCCCCGGGCUCAACCCGGGAACUGCGUCCGAUACUGGGAGGCUUGAAUCCGGGAGAGGGAUGCGGAAUUCCAGGGUGUAGCGGUGAAAUGCGUAGAUAUCUGGAGGAACACCGGUGGCGAAGGCGGCAUCCUGGACCGGUAUUGACGCUGAGGCGCGAAAAGCCAGGGGGAGCAAACGGGG